AUAAAAUGUUGAUGUUCUCUAUAAAUUUAUAAACAUAAAUAAAAGCAAAGAAGGAAUUACCAAUUUGACAAGAGAAGAUGGAUUAACUUAACAUGAUUGAGACUUGAUUGGUGCUUUAUCAAUAAAAAAUUUCAUUAUGAUUGGCCUGAAGCUUUUUAUGAAGCUAUACCAGCUGGGAUAUCAGAUCAUAGCGUCCUCCUGGUUUAUUUUGAUUCCAGAGUUUGCAAGAGAAGAGGUAGUUUCAAGUUCUUCAAUGUCUUGUAUGAGCACCAGAACUUUCUUCAGAUUGUUAAGAAGGUUUGGGACCUUAGUUUCAAUGGGUUCCAUAUGUACCAAAUUUAUCAGAAGCCAAAAAUUCUUAAAAAGGAGUGCAGACAGUUUAAUAGAAAGGAUUUUAGUGAUAUUUCAAUGAGAGUGGACAUGACCAGAAGCUUAUUGAGUAAGGUUCAAGCUGACAUCUAGGCCGACCCCUUUAAUACUAUCCUCCAAGAUGAAGAGAGAGCUAUCUCUAAGUACUUUCAUAAAGUGUUCAGCUGGGAAGAAAAUAUUCUUAGGCAAAAAUCCAGGAUGAUAUGGAUUAAACUUGGAGACCAUAACUCUAAAGUUUUUCAUAGGAGUAUUAACAAAGGCAGAUCAAGAAAAGAAUUGUGAUGAUUAGAAACAAUGAAGGGGAAAUGGUGGAGGAGCCUUUUUAAACUCUCCUAUACAGAAUAGGAAAAAUGUGGACCACAAUGUGUUCAAUGCUGGCUGUGUCCUUAAUAAUGAGGAUAGAGCUAAUCUGCAGACUCUCUUUUGUGAUAAUGAGAUCAGAGUUGCCCUGUAUAGGAUCAAUGAUGACAAGGCUCCAGGUCCAAAUGAGUUUGUUAGCAGUUUCUUAAAAAAAAAAGCUGGAAUAUCAUUGGGAAAGACAUCAUUCAGGCUACUAAAGACUUUCAAGCAACUGGUUGUGGAAGUUUUUCAUUUCGUAUGUAUACCAAACCUUACCAAUGUUGGAAGGAAGGCUUCCUGUUUUUGGUUUUUGCAAGGGAAUAUCCAAUGAUUUUGAAAGAAUUGAACGAGGAGCUGUAUAAGGUGAAAAUCUCAUAUACGGUUUCAAGAUAUGGUUGCAGAAAAGGUUAAUGUCCUGACUCCAUCGGUGCCCAGUCCUUCAAUGCUAAAAGAAGCUGAUUCAGUCACAGGAUUCGUGAAAAUAGAACUUUCGCUCCUGUUUUUAAUUUUUUAAUUUUAGCUUUUUUAUUUUUAAAAUUGCUAACGUCAAAAUAACGUUGUUUUGAAGACAUGAAAAAAUGAAUGAAUAAUCUCUCCCCCCGUGACUUCAGAUCUUGAA